CCUCUUUGCAGCGCUCAAUGGUCAAACGAGGUGUUUGUGCACAGUGUCAACAGUAGGAACUCCUGAGGGAGGAAGAAGCACACGGACUCUUCUGCUUCAAACACUCAGGUUGUUUACUCCACAGAGCCAGUCUUCCCCGGAUCAGGCCCCCCACUUAGUGUAUUUGACAAGCUGAGUUUGACACUCUUGUUUCGCUGAGUGUCAGUUUGUCAAAUACCCCAAGUGAGGUGUCACUUUUCUCCAAAUGUGACCAGUCCUAGGACCCUCCACAGCGGGGGCUACCACACCAAGGAAACUGAAAACACCACGGAACCCUUUUCUUGUGAAAUUUGAGGAUCUGGAAAAGGAACGAGGUAAUAGGUUCUGACAGUGGGGACACGCAGAGUCACCGUAUCAUCUGUUUAACUAUUAGUUAUUUAGUAAAUAAUGCAAAUGACUCAUUGUUUUUAAUUGUAUCCCUUGAGAAUCCUAAAAGGUUCAGUUAAUGAAGCAAUGAAAGCUUCAUACAGAUGUUUGAGUAAAUUAAAGCCUAACCUUUAAACCCAAUUUAGUUUUUUCAUCCAUUUUAUUUCUAGGCUUUAAGCACAGUCGCUAGAAGUCUCAGUUGAACACGGCACGUAUUGUUAUUCUCAGGACAUGUAGGCUGCUUUUUAAUGCCAUCAUUUGUAUGUUUCUUAUGCAUUCUCAGAUUAUUUUCAUUUUAAAUUGCUCUGAAACAAUAUUCAUCGAGAGAGGUUAAAGUUGGGUUGUAACAAUGUUGCUAAAAACAAAUGAAAACAUUUUGGAUUUGAUAGUGAUCUGUGGUGAUGCAAACAUGGAACUAAAUGUCUUGUAUUAGUCACACACAUGUCUUGUGUUAGGAGGAAUCCAUGUACUAAAGCAGUGUUUUUCAAAGUGGGGGCUCCGACCCCCCGGGGGGCCGCCAGGGGGCACCAGGGGGGUCACGCAAAGUUUGAGGGAAAGAGGAAUUUUUUUUUUUAAAGUUACAUUUUUUUUUUUAAUUAAUAACUGCAUAUCUAUUAAUCUAUGUGUCCUUUGAUGCCAAUCUUUUAAUAUUUUUUACUUAUUUAUAUAUUAAAUCACACGACCGCCCUUCAAGCCAAUCAGAAUCGAGUUGCCACUACUGAGAGUGAAACUGAGUAUCUGCUCAGCUUUUGGAGCAAGCUAGUGAAUAUUUCGCUCUGCAGCUGGAUGAGAGCACGGAUGUAGCAAAUAUUGAUGUUUAUAUAUAUAUGAAUAUAAAUAUGGUUAUUGUUAAUAUUACUGUUGAAUAUUAUAUAUAAUACUAUUAAGGCAUAAGUAGCUUUAAAAAAUGCUAAAAAUAUAUGUUAAUUGUUCAUAUUACUGUUCAAAAUUAUAUAAUAUUAUAAAGACAGAAAUCACUUUAAAAACGCUUUAAAAAUAUGUUUACUGUUGAUAUUACUGUUUAAUAUUGUGUUAAGAAUGUUUAUAACAGAAGACACAAUGAAUGUAAUGAAUGACAAACAAAAGAUAAAUACAAAAAAUGUUUAGAAGAAUAACUGAUUAUUGCAAGAGGGAAGUCCCCGCCAGACGAUAAUGCUAUAUGGGGGUCCUUGGCAUGGCAACGUUUGGGAACUAAAGGAAUGACCAGCCUUAAAAAAUAUGAUUGCACAUCUGUAAAGACUUUCAGUCGUUUUCUCUUACGAAUCGUUGAAUGAGGAUACUUUUAUAUUUGAGGUAUUUGCCUAAUUUCUUUUUUGAUUUUGCUAAAUGUUUUGGUUCAGCCUUGAUGGAUCUUUCCCUGCCAACAUGUGAGAGCAACUGUCUUUUCAAUUUCACGGGGAGCAUGCAUAAGGGAAGAGAACAGCCAAAUGAAAUAUACAGUGACUCGUGUUUCUGCUGAAAAAUACUCAUCGGUAACUCAAAAAAGCCAGGUUUAAGUAUGUUGUUCCUUCAGCAAAUAAACUGUUUAUUAAAAUAAAUAAAAUUGUAUUUGAUGGCAAACAGGUUUUUCUCUGGAAAACGAGAGACUCAUCUCAAUUACACUGCCCAAUUAAAUAAAGAUUUAAUACAAUAAUAAAAAAAUAAUUCAAGGCUAUGUGAAUUGGUGAUUGUAAUGCAACACUUGUGUGUGCGUGUGUGUGUGUUAGUGUGUGUGCAUACUUGGGUGUGUGCGCCAGAGGGGUGGAAGUGGGAGACUGCAUUUUGUAUAUUAGUCUAAUAUAUGUAUAUACAAAUAUAUUAUUGAUCUUAAUUGCACAACCUCUGUUCCAAUAUUUGGUAUAUUGUUGUUUACCUUGAAUCUAAUGUUUAAUUUAUGUAUGAUCAGCCACAAUGCCACUACACUAAUAAAGAUGAAUGAGGUGCUAUCUUUAGGCCAAUCUGUGAUCUUUCAAGGGUUAUAACGUGUCCUAAAGCGUGCAGACAGAAGCUUAUCAUCCAAUCUUACAAUCUUCCGCUUUGCAUUUCCUGUUCCUGUGAGGCUGUUUUGUAGCCAUGGACUGUUUAUAGCUCCCAAUGAAGCUUGAUAGUCAUACAUGCUUUUAAAGGCAUAACAUCCCAUGACACAUACCACUAAUAUCGAUCACUGUGUUCAUGCCAACUAUUCAUUUUGCUUAGAUAGGCUGCUACUAGUGGUGCAAGUCAUGUGCACGAUGUUAUGGUUGCAGAAAUAAAAGCAUUCUUCCUCUGCUCUGC